rnacentral:rRNA from 1 species
GCGAGACGGUGACGUUAAGCAAAUCCCAGAAAUAACGUCCCAGUUCGGAUUGUAGUCUGCAACCCGACUACAUGAAGCUGGAAUCGCUAGUAAUCGCGAAUCAGAAUGUCGCGGUGAAUACGUUCCCGGGUCUUGUACACACCGCCCGUCACACCAUGGGAGUCGGAAAUGCCCGAAGUCAGUGACCCAACCGUAAGGAGGGAGCUGCCGAAGGUGGAGCCGGUAACUGGGGUGAAGUCGUAACAAGGUAAC